rnacentral:rRNA from 1 species
UACAGAGGUCCCAAGCGUUGUUCGGAUUCAUUGGGCGUAAAGGGUGCGUAGGUGGCGCUGUAAGUCGGGUGUGAAAUUUCGGAGCUUAACUCCGAAACUGCAUUCGAUACUGCGGUGCUUGAGGACUGGAGAGGAGACUGGAAUUCAUGGUGUAGCAGUGAAAUGCGUAGAGAUCAUGAGGAAGACCAGUGGCGAAGGCGGAUCUCUGGACAGCUACUGACACUGAGGCACGAAGGCCAGGGGAGCAAACGGG